rnacentral:rRNA from 1 species
AAGUACUUUGGUACUGAGUGGCGGACGGGUGAGUAACACGUGAGAAUCUGCCUUCAGGACGGGGACAACCACUGGAAACGGUGGCUAAUACCCGAUAUGCGGAAAUGUAAAACGGUUUAUUCCGCCUGGAGAUGAGCUCGCGUCAGAUUAGCUAGUUGGUGGGGUAAAGGCUCACCAAGGCGACGAUCUGUAGCUGGUCUGAGAGGAUGAUCAGCCACACUGGAACUGAGAAACGGUCCAGACUCCUACGGGAGGCAGCAGUGAGGAAUUUUCCGCAAUGGGCGAAAGCCUGACGGAGUAAUACCGCGUGGGGGACGACGGUCUGUGGAUUGUAAACCUCUUUUGUCAGGGAAGAAACCAUGACGGUACCUGACGAAUCAGCCUCGGCUAACUCCGUGCCAGCAGCCGCGGUAAUACGGAGGAGGCAAGCGUUAUCCGGAAUUAUUGGGCGUAAAGCGUCCGUAGAUGGUUUGAUAAGUCUGCUGUUAAAGACUGGGGCUUAACUCCAGCAGAGCAGUGGAAACUAUCAGACUUGAGAACAGUAGGGGUAGAGGGAAUUCCCAGUGUAGCGGUGAAAUGCGUAGAUAUUGGGAAGAACACCGGUGGCGAAAGCGCUCUGCUGGGCUGUUUCUGACAUUGAUGGACGAAAGCUAGGGGAGCGAAAGGGAUUAGAUACCCCUGUAGUCCUAGCUGUAAACGAUGGACACUCGAUGUUGCCCCUAUCGACCGGGGCAGUGUCUUAGCCAACGCGUUAAGUGUCCCGCCUGGGGAGUACGUACGCAAGUAUGAAACUCAAAGGAAUUGACGGGGACCCGCACAAGCGGUGGAGGAUGUGGUUUAAUUCGAUGCAACGCGAAGAACCUUACCAGGGUUUGACAUGUCCGGAAUCCUUUUGAAAAAGAGGAGUGCCUUCGGGAACCGGAACACAGGUGGUGCAUGGCUGUCGUCAGCUCGUGUCGUGAGAUGUUGGGUUAAGUCCCGCAACGAGCGCAACCCUCAUUUUUAGUUGCCAGCAUUCAGUUGGGCACUCUAGAGAGACUGCCGGUGACAAACCGGAGGAAGGUGGGGAUGACGUCAAGUCAGCAUGCCCCUUACAUCCUGGGCUACACACGUCCUACAAUGCUUUGGACAAAGGGCUGCCAGCCUGCGAAGGUCAGCAAAUCCCAUAAACCAAGGCUCAGUUCAGAUUGCAGGCUGCAACUCGCCUGCAUGAAGGAGGAAUCGCUAGUAAUCCCAGGUCAGCAUACUGGGGUGAAUACGUUCCCGGGUCUUGUACACACCGCCCGUCACACCAUGGAAGUUGGCCACGCCCGAAGUCGUUACUCUAACCCGUAAG